AUCCAAACAUAGGUAUAUUGUAUCUAUAGUUAUCUAAAAAGAGCACCAAAUCCUAAAGAUCAUUAGAAAGGGAGAAAGAUAAGGUUAGCUUUCUUGGAUUUCUAAAAGUAAUGUCGGAGAGGUGAAGAGAAACAACAAUAAAGGAGUAAAAGGGCGAAGAGGCUUGAAGUAUGUAAAAAGAAAGUCAAUCUAUCUGCAUAAUGCAGUAUCUAGUCAUUUUCAAUUUGAUCAGUAUAUUGAAAUAGAAAGGGCUUUUAAUACGAAUAUGAAGCUAGAUCAGUGAGGAAUCUUUUACCCUAUAGUUCGUUAUGUUAUAAACUUAAAUGGAGGUAUA
rnacentral:misc_RNA from 1 species